CUGAUGUACAACCUGAACCUCCCCUGGUGCAGCUUGAGAAUGAUUUAUCACCAGCUAUUUGAGUCUGACCAGAUGGCUGCAAUGUUGGAAGCUGUCUUGAGGAAGGGGAAUUUAUUUAUUUAAAGAGCCUGUCUCCUCCAUGAACUCCUUGGAUGGGCACUGCAUCUUCUCGUCAGCCUGUCUCUGACCCCAUCUCCUCUUGAUCCUGUCUGGAGCCCAUGGCUGGAUGCUGGACCUGGUACACUGCCCAUGUCAGGAGCUGAUGGCUCCCAUUCCCAGCUCCCAGAUCUGCCGACCAUGGUCCAACCCUGUGGGACU